rnacentral:lncRNA from 1 species
UAAUCCUACUGCGAGAAUUCAAGUUAUGAAGGCCCUCUCAAAAAGUACCAUGUCACCCACUGAACCUCCACGGCUUACAAUUCGCAAACCAGUGGUCAAGUAGAAAUUUCUAACUAAGAGGUGAAGUUCAUACUAGGGAAAACGGUCACUCCUAACAGAAAGGACUAUAGCUUAUGGCUAGAGGAUGCUCUGUCAGUCCAUAAAAUGAACUAC